rnacentral:lncRNA from 1 species
GUUACAUUCAGUUAUUUCUCUCUGACAUCUUGCCAAAGGGUCUGCACCAAUAUAGAAUCUGAAUAACCAGCACAAUGAAUUAUAGCAAGCUUAUACUCCACAAGUUUAAAUGGGUCAGCCAAUUCCUCAUAAAGCUUAGUUAUAUCCAUUAGCUCAGAAUCCAGUUGAAAAAUUGCAUCCUGUACAGAGGAGUGAUGGGAAUACUGCUUUUGUAGUGUGUCUUAUGUCUGAAGUUGGAUCCUACCAAUUUUCAUUUUUUUUUUCUAAUUCAUGAAAGAAUUCACCAUCUGCAGUUAUUGAUGAAACAGCAGUGGAACUUUUGGCACUAGGAACGGCUCAAGCAAUGUAUUAUAGUCAUUGCUGAAGUGAAAUUUCUGUGCUAUACAUGUCGGCCAAUUUGGACAGAAUAUGAGCCUUACUCCUAAAACGUCUGUAUUUCUCAUAACCCACAUGUUGAAAAACUGGAUUAGAAGACUGAGUUCCAAUUGGUUACGAGUACCUGUGAUAGGUGACUCCUAAACAAUUCAGUGAUUCCUGUGCUCUGAUUAUCUACAAUUAGCUCUGGAAUGAGAAGCCAUGAAGCCACCCACCCAGAAAUCCUCCUGGAAACCCAGGAGCUAUUCUUCUUAUUAUUUCCAAUAAAUAUCUCUCACCUC